GAUGAACGCUGGCGGCGUGCCUAAUACAUGCAAGUCGAGCGAAUGGAUUAAGAGCUUGCUCUUAUGAAGUUAGCGGCGGACGGGUGAGUAACACGUGGGUAACCUGCCCAUAAGACUGGGAUAACUCCGGGAAACCGGGGCUAAUACCGGAUAACAUUUUGAACCGCAUGGUUCGAAAUUGAAAGGCGGCUUCGGCUGUCACUUAUGGAUGGACCCGCGUCGCAUUAGCUAGUUGGUGAGGUAACGGCUCACCAAGGCAACGAUGCGUAGCCGGCCUGAGAGGGUGAUCGGCCACACUGGGACCGAGACACGGCCCAGACUCCUACGGGAGGCAGCAGUAGGGAAUCUUCCGCAAUGGACGAAAGUCUGACGGAGCAACGCCGCGUGAGUGAUGAAGGCUUUCGGGUCGUAAAACUCUGUUGUUAGGGAAGAACAAGUGCUAGUUGAAUAAGCUGGCACCUUGACGGUACCUAACCAGAAAGCCACGGCUAACUACGAGCCAGCCGCCGCCGUAA
rnacentral:rRNA from 1 species